GAUGAACGCUGGCGGCGUGCCUAAUACAUGCAAGUCGAGCGAACAGACGAGGAGCUUGCUCCUCUGACGUUAGCGGCGGACGGGUGAGUAACACGUGGAUAACCUACCUAUAAGACUGGGAUAACUUCGGGAAACCGGCGCUAAUACCGGAUAAUAUAUUGAACCGCAUGGUUCAAUAGUGAAAGACGGUUUUGCUGUCACUUCUAGAUGGUUCCGCGCCGCAUUAGCUAGUUGGUAAGGUAACGGCUUACCAAGGCAACGAUGCGUAGCCGACCUGAGAGGGUGAUCGGCCACACUGGAACUGAGACACGGUCCAGACUCCUACGGGAGGCAGCAGUAGGGAAUCUUCCGCAAUGGGCGAAAGCCUGACGGAGCAACGCCGCGUGAGUGAUGAAGGUCUUCGGAUCGUAAAACUCUGUUAUUAGGGAAGAACAAAUGUGUAAGUAACUAUGCACGUCUUGACGGUACCUAAUCAGAAAGCCACGGCUAACUACGUG
rnacentral:rRNA from 1 species